UACGUAGGCAGCGAGCGUUGUUCGGAAUUACUGGGCGUAAAGAGUGUGUAGGCGGCGCUCUAAGUUCGGUGUGAAAUCUCUCGGCUUAACUGGGAGGGUGCGCCGGAAACUGGAGUGCUCGAACGUGGGAGAGGAAAGCGGAAUUCCUGGUGUAGCGGUGAAAUGCGUAGAUAUCAGGAGGAGUACCGAUGGCGAAGGCAGGUCUCUGGGCUGACACUGACGCUCAUGCAUGAAAGCGUGGGGAGCAAACAGG
rnacentral:rRNA from 1 species